rnacentral:lncRNA from 1 species
UUGAACACCAGGAGUUGCCUGAAUGAAAGAAGGAUUUAUCGGUGACCCUGGCCACGAUGCUGGAUUGACUGAGAUGAAGCCAAUUACAAAGUCAGAGUGAUCCUCGGCAAUUUUCAGUGCAGCAGCAGUAUAAUCUCCCUUGGCAAGGUUACCAGCUGAACUCAUUUCAGCAAGCAGCAAUAGACCCCUGCCACGAGGCAAGCCCUGCAUAUGAUCCAAGAAAAUGUCAGGCUAUUAACUGACAUCUUUCCGUAGAAUUGACAGAGUAUAAUGAAAAUGACUGCAAUUAUAUACCUUCAAUUUUAUAUGGUUCUAUUCUCAUAGGUUACAACCGAAAAAAAAGACCUAAAUGACUAAGGAAUCCAUGGGUGAAGCCGUGAAGGAGAGCAGAGCCAAAAGGUCCUGUGAGCCAAAGAGAUCACCUAAGUUCAGUUGGCCUACAUAGUUCAGAGUCUUCUAGUAAUUCAUCGAACCUUGGAUCAUAAUUUUAUUGUCUGUAGAUGUAUUUUGACUAAAAGAGACUUUUGAUUUGUCCAAAUUUAAUAGCUAUCUCGAAGUUUAUGGGUAUAUUGUAACGAUCAAAUUCAAGCCAUGAAUCAAUUUAUGCUCUUGUGCUUUUGAAAUUAAAGCCAGUAGGACAAGAUCAAAAGAUGAGGUUAAUAACCAAAUUAACUCUUAAAAAAAGCAAGUGUGCAUCAAUUUAGCUCUUGAAGGAUAUAAUAAUGUCUCAAAUUGAUCCUGAAUGAUAUAAUUGUGAAUCAGAUUAGUUAUUCCAUAAGUUAGAUGAUAACAUAUGACAUAAUCGUUUUACGAUAUAUUAUCAUUUAAUUAUUAAUUUAUUUUACUAGAAUAAAGGAGUUUUUGUUCUUUUAUUGUGUUGGAAUUCAGUUAGCACAAACAAGAACACAAUUUUCGUUCAUCCUUUUACUGUUCGAAGACAACCUUAAAAGUGCAUUUAGGCUCUUCCUUUUAGUGUUGAAAUAUGGUUAGCACAAAAAAACCACAUUUAGUCCAUCCUUUUAUUGUUGACAUAGAUCCUUCAAGUGCACUUUGCCAAGUAUGCAUUCCAUCCUUGAAGACGGUAUUCAUGAGCUGCAUCGGCAGGAUUCGCUGCCUUGAUGAUGCCACGGCCAACAAUGAUAAUGUCACUGCCCCUAUCAUGAACAACCUGGAAAAUCGAUCCACAAAUCGUCAAGAUGAAGGUAAGAAAAGGAUAUGCUAUUGUUCUCAAGACCAAGAAACUAAUAUACUGCAUCUUUCCCUUCAACUAACAUCUUUUUAUCCAUAAAAGUUCUUUUCAACUGAAUAAAGAACAACAAAAUCAAUAGUAUGAUGAUAUUCUUCACAUGUUUAACUUCAGCAUCUGCUAGAAGAUGCAUGGCCAAUAAGCAGAAACUUACUGAAUAUGGAGUGUUAUAUUGCUGCCCUAAUGCAUCGCCACCAGUUACCAUUUGAACACCAGGAGUUGCCUGAAUGAAAGAAGGAUUUAUCGGUGACCCUGGCCACGAUGCUGGAUUGACUGAGAUGAAGCCAAUUACAAAGUCAGAGUGAUCCUCGGCAAUUUUCAGUGCAGCAGCAGUAUAAUCUCCCUUGGCAAGGUUACCAGCUGAACUCAUUUCAGCAAGCAGCAAUAGACCCCUGCCACGAGGCA